GACAAUUAUAAAAUAAGAAGGGCGCAGCAGCUCACUCCACCUCGUUCUCCAAAAAUCGGCAUCUUCCACCCAAAAAUAAGUUCAUUAGAGACCAAAAUUAUCAGAUCUUCCUCUAAAAAAGAGCUAGCAUCGUUCCCUCUCUUCAAGGGUCGUCCCCCUUUUUAUUUUUCUCAACAGAGAACAGGGACAAUCUCUCGUUUUGCUGCAUCUCCGGCGAUCCAAGGCAGAAUCCGGCCAGCCAUCGAGCCCCCCAUGGUUCUUCAUCUACUCUUACACACGCUGAGGCCUCCUGCAACAAGCGGAAAUUACAAAGUUUAGAGCUAAAAUUCAAAAAUUGCAAAGUUGAUUUUCCGUUUCAAAUCCUUGUCUUCUCUCGUAUUUUUUGGGGAUUUCAGAGCUUGGUGGAGCUGUAGAACUUGUUUCGAAGCUGGAGUUUGAUUUAAAAUCAAAUCUCUGUUCGAUUUCGCUGAUUUUAUUAUUUCAGGAACUGCUGAGCUUCGGUCGAUUUCGCCCCUGCAUCUAGUCUGUUUACUUGAGUUCUUUGUUUAACCAGGUAUUUAUUUUUUUUAUUGUUUAUGAGUUGUUUCAUUUUGUAGUGAGCUAAAAUUUGUCAAACACACUUUGUAAUGUGAUAAUUGCUGCCAAGAUGUUGAAUUUAAAACAUCUGUUACUUAUUCGUUCUCAUUUCAUGAUUAAGGUGAAUUAGAUAUUAUUUGUUAUUUAACGAAAGUUUAGUCACCAGUUCUGUCUACUCACGAGAUUCUUGUCUUUUGGCUUGAAAUUUUGAGCAAUGUACAUAUUCAUAUUGCAACACUAGAAGAACUUAGCAAGAACAAUUUUUGCAAAUCGAACGAGGAUAUACUUUUGAUUACGCAUUUGGGUCUAAAUCUACCGAAUUCACUGUGCAACCUUUUUCUUAAUGUGAGACUUUGUAUUGUCUUAUACUUGUCUACAUUGCAGAUGAUAUGGAUCACUUGUAUUAGACAACAGUGUCUAUUAUUUGCCUAGUAUCUCCUUGAUUUACUGUGUUUAAUGUGCUUCAGUUUUCAAACUUUGUUUUUAACAUUAAGUUAAAGUUAGAUACACCGUAUGCAAUGUUUUCUUUUAUUUAUGGAAGCAAUCUCUUUGAUGCACAAACUUUGUAUCUGGAUUGCUAGCUUGAGGUUUGCUUUCGUAUGAUUUUUUUUGUAUUUGUAACGGUUUGAAUUAAAUCGAGGUGUGUCAUGCCAAAUAAAAUUCCAAAACCCAUGGCUCUCACUUAAUUAAUUUUAAUCCUUAGAAAUCGAGGCGUGCCAUUUAGUUGAAUUUUCCUUGGACCUCGCAAAGUUAAAAGUGCGUAGUUGUUUUAGGCACGUUAUUUUAAAAAUUAAUUUCCUAAACUCGGGUGUGCAUUUCAUGUGACCCAAAUCCAAAUUUCAACAGCAUUAAAUAAAAUGUGUCGUGGACUGCGGGUGCAUUUCAUGUGGCGUGGUUCAGAGACGUGUUUUAGAUAACAUUUAAUCUUCCUAAAAUUAAUUAAAAGUGGUUUAAUAAGUUAAAAUAUACCAUUGGCUAAAACAUAUAUUAAAAUAAGAUAAUAGACCAAUUAUGAUAGUUUAAACGGCCGUGCUAGAACCACGGAAUUCGGGGGUGCCUAACACCUUCCCUCGGGUUAACAGAAUUCCUUAUUCAGAAUUUCUGGUUCGCAGACUUCAAAAGGAAAGUCGAAUUGUCCUCGAUUUGGGAUUUUAAAAUGAACCGGUGACUUGGGACACCAAAUAAACUAUCUCAAGUGGCGACUCUGAAAUGAUUAAAUAAUCCCAUUUCGAAUAAUGUCAAUUAAAUUGAAAAAACUCCAAUAUAUACCCCCUCGGGUGUGUAAAAAGGAGGUGUGACAUUGUCCUAUACCCAUAAUGUCACAAACCUGAUUUUUCGAUGCAAAGAGAGAAAAAGGGGGGCGCGACAGAGAUUAGCAGAGAUAACUUAGAGAAGAAACUAGGUACCAAACCCUAGUGUGUCAGAGUUCACAAGGGUCUCAAAUGAACCCUGAGCAGCGCUCACACUAGAGAGGCCAAAGGACAGAACCUAAGUAGCAUUGGCUUUCAGUCUGCUAAGAAUGGAAUUUAAAGGACUUAGGUGACAGGUGAAAGAAAGUACCAAAGUUGAGAAAACAGGAAUUGAAAGGUUUAAACAAACACAACUAAAUUGAGCAAACCAGGUAGACAGUUGAUUAAAUAACAAAGCUAAAAAGAGCAAGUUUAAUGUACACUAAGAAACAGAUUCAACACUUAGCACAGAAGUCGUCGCAUGCUAAAAGAAAAGUUGAAAAGAACAUAUUUGCAAGAUUGACUAAGUUUACUAUACACAGGUGCAAGACAGGUUAAAACAUGGUUGAAUUAUUCCAUGUACACAACCUAAUGUUAUUACCAAGGAGACAGGACAUCAUUGUGAUGAGUCAAAUAAUCAUAGAAAGAGUAGGGUAUCAUGUUAGCAAAGGGGUGAGAUUACAAUCACAAAUUAAGACACAUAUACAAACUAUUACUCAUAAUAGAAGGUUGUAUCAUAUAAAGUAGCAAGCAUAGGCAUUCAAGUAUUGUUAUAGUAGUCUAAUUAAUAAAAGAUGAUCCAGUUUGUACCAAAGAUUUAGCCUAACAUCUCAAAGUAUUGAUUCAAACAUGAUGAGACAACUGUUCCAAAUCAUAAGCAAACACUAGAAAAAAAGGAGAGGGGUAUAGGGUCGAGUGAUCAUGCUGAAUAAUACAAUAGCAGGGAGGUAAACUACGACUGACAAUGAAGGUCUUAACACAAGAUAACACAAAUGUGAGGCACCCACUACAUGGAUUUAGGACAAGUGAGCAAACAUGUUCAUGAGCAUUCAAAAGUUUAACACACUAACUGAAUAAACCCCAAGAAAGUCCAGAUUAACUAGGCUAGGAAUAGAUAACUGCAGAACUGGUGGCAUUAGGGGCAGUUAAGUGUUAAAGAGGCUAAAACAUGUAAAGUUGAUAGAACAAUGCCUAACAGGACUCAGAAGCCUAUUGAACCAUAGAUUCAUAAGUAAGAACACAUGCAAAUCAUAGACAUGUAAGAAUGGAAUUGCAGAAGUCAAGUGACUCACCAGUUAAGUAAAAAUGCACAAAAUAAUAAAAGCCACAGUAUUCUGAGUAGCAAGAUCCCAGAACUAAAUGGCCUUGGCUUCCAGCCGGCUAAAAUCAAAGUAUAGAAUGUAAAUUAGAGUAAAGCUUUUUGAUUUAGUGAAGCUAUAUCGAGUUCAGAAAGUCUGUUCAAAGGGAAUGGGGGGAGGGAUUUAUAUAGUGGUAGAAAUUAACAUCCAAAUAAGGAAAAUCAUCAAUCAAACACGAGAAAGGAAAAAUUCAUUACAUGCAAUCAGAAUCAGUAAGGGAAAGGGAAAAGUCUCAAACCCUAAUUCUAGGGAGAGUGUAAAAUCGACUGAAUAAAAUCAAACACCACAUAGAAUAGGACGAACAUAGACGGAAUUGCACUUAAAAUCAGAGAAUCGAACUCGAUUUGGUUCAAUUAAAAGAGGUCUAAAAACCCUAAUUUAGGGUGGGUAAGAAUCAUCAACAUAUAUAGAAAAUAUUCAUACUUACAAAGGAUACAUGAAGAACAUAGACAGAAUAAUCAGAGAAAUCAAGGAUUUGAACCGAUUUGGUUCAAUUUUAAUGAGAUUUGCUUGCCAUGUUAGGCAAUCAACUAGGUAACACCACAAAUGAGUAACCAGUAGAGAAGGAACACAGAUAUGGUAAGUAAAUUAUAGGUAAAUCCCAUGGCUAAAGGGAUUAGGAAGCGGAUUGGUAAAGCGCAGCGAUUAGGUUUAUUCAGAGGUGAGACAGGGAGAGUUUAGAGGUGGCGGUCUUUAGGGAAUGGGGAUUAGGGUUAGGGUGAGGAGAUAUAAGGAAAGGGGAUAGGGUUUUGUGAGCCGUUGAUCAUUUUUGAUCAACGGUUGAGGUUGAAGGAGAUUUGGGUCGGAUUAAUUAGCUGGUUGGGCUGGGGGUUAUUUGGUUUGGGCUUAGGUAUUAUUGGGCUAUUAGGUCCGAAAAUGGAUUUUGAAUUAGGCUAGUUUUUAAAUACCCAAUAUUUUAAAAAAUAAAUAAUUUAUAAAAGUAAUUAAUAGAUAACAAAAAUAUUAUUUUUGCACUAAAAUAAUUAAAAAUAAUCUCUUAACAUUAUAAAAAUAUAUUUUAUGCAUAAAUAAUGUAAUUAUAUAUUAAUAUGGGCUAUUAUUGGAAAGAUGUGCAAUUUAGCCUUAAAAAUGCAAAUGCAAUUAUAAAAAUGUACUGAAAAAUAUUUAAACAUUAUGUGGGUAUAAAUGAUAAAUUUAGAUGAUUAAAUAUUCAUAAAAUAAUUUGAAGGAUAAUUAUUGGUUAUUUAUAUAUAAUAAAAAAUGCAAGAAUAAAUUGGUUUAAAGCCCUUAAAAAUUAUAAAACAAUUAUGAAAAAUAUUUAUGUAUGCUUAUAAAUCAAAUGAUGGUGGAUAUGCACUAUUUUGAAAGUAUAUGUAUAUAUAUUUAAAAUAUGAGGGAAAAAUUAGGUAUCAACAGCUGCCCCUCUUUAUCCGGGAAUGAUGAAAGAAUUAUCGAGUAAAGAAUGAUGACCUAUUUUGACCGAAUGGGGUAAUUUUUAAAAGUAAAGGCCGAACUCUGGUUUUUGAGUUGCCUACACAUCCCUGGUUUUACAGAAAUUAGGCCAUGUGUAGUUCUGGACCCAACGGUGAAUGAAACCGAUGGAAUUAUUAUAGGAAUGGUCGUGUGUUUCGGAAAAGGUUCUUUUGAGAAGGAUAGUAUCAGGUGCAGAGUUUUGAAUGUGAAUUUAAAAUGCAACGAAUGUGUUAUAGAGCAAGUAUUUGAAUAGCCACAGAGAAAAGUGAGUAAUUGAUGGGAGUCGGUUACGUUUAGAACAUAUGAACAUCGUGAAUAGAAAUCGGAGCAAAUAUUGCUCCCGUUUGAAGAACGGUUACCUCCUGGAUUACCUUCAAAACUUAAAAUACGAUGCAUGCAAAACAUAUAUGGGUUAUUGCGAGAAUUUAAACAUGAUGCAAAUUCCCUUUGGACCAUGAAGAUUAUCUUCGGACGGUGAGGAUGAUGUCCUUAGACCAUGAUGUCCUGGUCCAUGAAUCAUGUGAUAAGGGAUUCACAGGCCAUGAAAUGAUAUUCUUGGGUGAGAAUGGUGCCUCUGAACCAUGAUGUCUUUGAAUAAUAAUAUUCAGCAUUGAGAGAUCCUCAGGCUAUGACAUGGUGUCUUCAGGCUAUGAGGAUGAUGCCUUCGGACUAUGACGCCUUUGGAUAAUAUGGCAAUGUUUCAGCCCAUGAAAUGCAAAGACAUGAUGAUGGAUCAUAUAAGCGAAGCAAGACAGAGCUUAGUCUUGCAUAAGAUUGGGACAGAGCUUGGCCUCGAGAAGGAAAAAUAGUGCUAGAUUCCAAGUAGCAUAACAUUCGUUAUCAUGUAGGGAAAAGCAGAUCUUAGCCUUAUGCAGUUAGGGAGGCAAUGCUUCGCCUCAUGAAAGAAAGGGGGCAGUGCUUAGCCUCAUGCAAUGAAAGGCAAUGCUUAGCCUUAUGAAAUUUAGGGAGGCAGUGCUUAGCCUCAUGCAAAAGAGGAGACCGGGCUUAGUCUCAUGUGAUGGAAGGCAGCGUUUAGCCUUAUGUAGUUGAGGAGGCAGGGCUUAGCCUCAUUCAAAAAGAUUAUAUAUGGCUUAGUCUCAUGCGAUUGAGGAAGCAGGGCUUAGCCUCAUUCAAGAAGAGUAUAUAUGGCUUAGUCUCAUGCGAUUGAGGAGGUAGGCUUAGCCUCAUACAGAAUAGGAGAUAAUGCUUAGUCUCAUAUAGGGGAAGGCAAUGCUUAGCCUUAUGCAGAAUGGAGACAAUACUUAGUCUCAUGUAGGGGAAGGCAGUGCGUAGCCUUAUGCAGAAUGGAGACAAUUCUUGGUCUCAUACAGGGGAAGGAAGUGCUUAGCCUUAUGCAGUUGAGGAGGCAGGGCUUAGCCUCAUGCAAGACGAGGAGACAAUGCUUAGUCUCAUGCAGGGAAAGGCAAUGCUUAGCCUUAUACAAAAUGGAGACAAUGUUUAGUCUCAUGCAGGGAAAGGCAAUGCUUAGCCUUAUGCAGAAUAGAGACAAUGCUUAAUCUCAUGCAGGGGAAGGCAGUGCUUAGUCUUAUGCAGAAUGGAGACAAUGCUUAGUCUCAUGCAGGGGAAGGCAGUGUUUAGCCUUAUGCAGUUGAGGAGGCAUGGCUUAGCCUCAUGCAAGAAGAGGAGACAAUGCUUAGUCUCAUGCAGGGAAAAACAAUGCUUAUCCUAAUGCAGAAUGGAGACAAUACUUAGUCUCAUGCAAGGGAAGGCAAUGCUUAGCCUUAUGCAGUUGAAGAGGAAGGGCUUAGCCUCAUGUAAGGAGAGGAGACAAUGCUUAGUCUCAUGCAGGGAAAGGCAAUGCUUUGCUUUUUGCAGAAUGGAGAUAAUGCUUAGUCUCAUGCAGGGGAAGGCAGUGCUUAGCCUUAUGCAGUUGAGGAGGCAGGGCUUAGCCUCAUGCAAGAAGAGGAGACAAUGCUUAGUCUCAUACGAUUGAGGAGGCAGGGCUUAGCCUCAUACAGAAUAGAAGACAAUGCUUAGUCUCAUGCAAAGAAAAGGUAGUGAGUGAUAGUAGAGUAUUUCUUACUCAAUGUUUAGUCUCAUGCCAAACUUCUCCAUACAUUUCUAUGAGUAUGAGUGCUCCCCCUGUAAAUACUCAAUGAACCAUGUAGGGCCCUUGCCAAUUGGGUUAAAAUUUCCCUUUGGUCUCAUCUUGAUGUGGGGAGAUCCACUUCAGCACCAGCUGCCCCGGUGCAAACUAUCUGGAUUUGACCCUCUUGUUGAAAGUUCUAAACAUUCUGUUCUGAUAAAGUUGACCGUGACAUAUCGAAUUCAUUCUUUUUCCAUCAAUAAGAGCUAACUAUUCAUAACGACUUCCUAUCCAUUCUGCAUCACUGAGUUCAACUUUUUGUAUAAUUCUUAAGGAAGGGAUUUCGACCUCGGCGGGAAUGACAGCUUCUGUACCGUAGACCAACAUGUAGGGAGUUGCUCAGGUUGAUGUGCUAACUAUGGUAUGAUAUCCCAAUAAGGCAAAUGGUAAUUUCUCGUGCCAGUGGUUGUCUACUAUUUUCCUUAGAAUUUCUUGAUGUUCUUGAUGGCAGCUUCCACGGCUCCAUUUAUUUGAGGUAUGUAUGCUGUGGAAUUCUUAUGCUUGAUUUUGAAGGUUUCACACAUAGCUUUCACUAAGUCGUUGUUGAGGUUGGCAGCAUUAUCGGUGAUGAUGGAUUCUGGCACCCUAAAUCGGCAAACAAUACGAUUCCUAACAAAAUCUGCAAUGACUUUCUUGGUUAUAGCCUUGUAAGAUGCAGCCUCAACCUAUUUUGUGAAGUAGUCUAUGGCCACUAAAAUAAACAUGUGCCCGUUUGACGCGGUGGGCUCAAUCGGGCCGAUGACAUCCAUUCCCCAAGUGGUAAAAAGCCAAGGUGCACUUGUGGCAUUGAUUUCAUUUGGUGGCACCCGUAUCAUAUUUGCAUGUACCUGACACUAGUGACACUUUUGGACAUACCUGAUGUAGUUUGUUUCCAUACUCAUCCAAAAGUACGCUGCUUUUAGUAUCUUCCUGGCUAAAAUGAAACCAUUCAUAUAUGGUCCGCAAGUUCCGGCAUGUAUCUCUUCGAGUAGUUUGGAGGCUUCUUUGGCAUCAACACACCAUAAUAAUCCUAGGUAUGGAGUCCUUCAGUACAGAAUUCCUCCGCUUUGGAAGAAAUGGUUGGAUAAUCUUCAGAGCGUGCGUUUCUGAGUAUGAUUUGCAUGCUCCGGGUAUUCUCUUUUUGCCAAGUAUUCCUUGAUAUCAUGGAACCACGGAUUCCCAUCCAUUUCUUCUUCAAUAUGAGCGCAAUAAGCUGGUUGAUUAUGGGUUCUUACUAGAAUAGGGUCGAUGAAACUCUUAUCUGGAUGUUGUAUCAUGGAAGACAAAGUAGCCAGUGCGUCUGCAAACUCGUUCUUGAUUCUCGGAACAUGUUUGAAUUCUAUCUUUGCGAACCUCUUCAUCAACUCUUGUACGUGAUAACAGAUAUGGCAAUAUUUUUGUAUUCUUUGGUAGCCCACUCUCCUAGAACCUGAUGUACCAGAAGGUCUGAAUCACCAAUUACCAAUAAUUCCUGGAUAUUCAUGUCAAUGGCCAAAUUGAGCCCCAUGAUGCAAGCCUCAUAUUCUGCCAUAUUGUUGGUGCAUGGAAAUAUGAGUUUCGCGGAUACCUGGUAAUGCUGACCUGUCUUUGACACCAAAACAGCUCUAAUACCCACUCAUUUGAAAUUUGCAGUCCCGUCGAAGAACAUUCUCCAACCGUCAUAGGUUUCGGUGAUAUCUUCUCCUAUAAAUGAUACCUCUUCAUCGGGAAAAUACAUUUUCAAUGGUUUGUAUUCUCCUCCUACAGGAGUUUCCGCAAGAUGAUCUACUAAUGCCUGUCCCUGGAUCGCCUUCUUAAUCACAUAGACGAUAUCAAAUACAUUCAACAAUAUCUGCCAUUUUUCUAGUUUCCCUGUAGGCAUUGGUUUCUGAAAAAUGUAUUUCAGGGGAUCCAUCCUUGAUAUGAGAUAUGUAGCAUAGGCAUCAAUUUUUGAGCUAUCCACGUCAGGGCACAGCAGGUACAUUUCGGCAAAUAAUAUCGUGCCUCAUAGGGUAUGAACUUCUUACUCAAGUAGUAUAUGGCAUGUUCCUUUCUUCUCGUCUCGUUGUGUUGUCCCAAGACACAACCGAAAGCUCCAUCUAGUAUGGACAAAUAGAGUAGUAGAGGUCUACCAGGUUCCGGCAGGACCAAGACUGGUGGUAUAGAUAGGUACUCCUUGAUUCUGUCAAAGGCUUUUUGACAUUCUUUAGUCCAUCUAGUUGCGGCAUCUUUCUUCAGCAUUUUGAAAAUUGGUUCACAGAUCAUGGCCAUUUGUGCAAUGAAUCGGCUGAUGUAAUUGAGACGCCCCAAGAAGCUCAUCACAUCUUUCUUGCUCUUCGGAGGUGGCAAAUCUUGGAUAGCUUUGACCUUUGAAGGGUCCAAUUCAAUCCCUCGGUGACUGAUGAUGAAACCUAGUAAUUUUCCAGCAGGGACUCCGAAGGCACACUUCGCAGGAUUCAGUUUUAGAUUGUACCUUCAAAGUCGAUUAAAGAAUUUCCUUAAAUCUGUUAUAUGAUUUGCGCUUCUUUUGGAUUUGAUGAUGACGUCAUCCACAUACACCUCUAUUUCUUUAUGAAUCAUGUCAUGGAAAAUAGUCGCCAUGGCUCUCAUAUAAGUGGCUCCAGCAUUCUUCAGGACAAACAACAUCAUUUUAUAACAAUAUAUCCCCCAUGGAGUGAUAAAGGCCGUUUUCUCGGCAUCUCCCUUAUCCAUCCAAAUCUGAUGUAUCCCGUGAAGCAAUCCACAAAGGAUUGGAGUUCAUGCUUGGCACAGUUGUCGAUCAGUAUGUGUAUGUUUGGUAGUGGGAAAUCUUUUUUGGGACUUGCUUUGUUUAAAUCUCGAUAGUCGACACAUACUCUAACCUUUCCAUCCUUCUUCGGAACUGGCAUGAUGUUAGCCAACCAAGUAGGAUAUUCGACCACUAUAAGAACUUUAGGUUUGAUUUGCUUGAUGACUUUCUCAUUGAUUUUCAGACUCAUAUCAGGCUUGAACUUUAUGAGUUUUUGUUUUACAGGCGGACAUAUUGGAUUGGUAGGUAGUUUAUGAGCUACGAUAGAUGUGCUCAACCUGGUCAUAUCAUCAUAAGACCAUGCAAAGAUAUCUUCGUAUUCUUUUAGGAAAU
rnacentral:lncRNA from 1 species